AUUGAACGCUGGCGGCAGGCCUAACACAUGCAAGUCGAGCGGAUGAAGGGAGCUUGCUCCUGGAUUCAGCGGCGGACGGGUGAGUAAUGCCUAGGAAUCUGCCUGGUAGUGGGGGAUAACGUCCGGAAACGGGCGCUAAUACCGCAUCCGUCCUGAGGGAGAAAGUGGGGGAUCUUCGGACCUCACGCUAUCAGAUGAGCCUAGGUCGGAUUAGCUAGUUGGUGGGGUAAAGGCCUACCAAGGCGACGAUCCGUAACUGGUCUGAGAGGAUGAUCAGUCACACUGGAACUGAGACACGGGCCAGACUCCUACGGGAGGCAGCAGUGGGGAAUAUUGGACAAUGGGCGAAAGCCUGAUCCAGCCAUGCCGCGUGUGUGAAGAAGGUCUUCGGAUUGUAAAGCACUUUAAGUUGGGAGGAAGGGCAGUAAGUUAAUACCUUGCUGUUUUGACGUUACCAACAGAAUAAGCACCGGCUAACUUCGUG
rnacentral:rRNA from 1 species